rnacentral:lncRNA from 1 species
ACCCUCAAUGAACAAUAAUGGUAUGGGAAAAGGCUCUUGCGUCAGACAUUGGAGCAAGCUGUCAACGUGAACUAAAAUUAUUGCAACCCUGCGAAUCUUCAACUCACACUGUUUUAUUUAAUAUAUAUAGACAUGACCUAAGUGAAAUAGCAUGUGACCUAGGUGAUAUUAUUUGAAAUAGUUUAACAUGUGCCAUAUGCCGACCGAGAUGGCAUAAGAGACAUGCCAGGUAUUAGAUUAAGCUGGAAAAGAAGAGGAGAUGAAAGAAAACAUGGAUAGAGGUAGUGCAAAUUUCAUUUAACUAACAUCUUAUUUUAAAAAUUUAAUUAGCCUUUGGUGUGAAUGCAUACAAUUACCCAAAUUUAAUCAUGACAUUUGUUUUUAAUUUUAAAAGUAUAUUACAUGUUGUUUCAGAUGCAAGGUUGAUAAACUUUCUAUAACUUGGAAUUUCUAAUUUUACAAUAUGCCAUAUCUUGUCUGGCACUUAAGUAUUCAUUGACAAGGGAUAGUUUUGGUCCUAUUGGUAAUCUGAUUUAUGAUAGUGAUGUAAAACUUUUUUUUGGGUAAAUAUGGAAACUCUUCUCAAAGCGCUUCUUACUAUAUAAUUUUUCAAAUUAAUAUAAAACAUUGCUGCGUGGGAUCAUGUAAAAACAAUAUCUCCAGCUUAAUGCUUAAUACUUGGCUAAACCCUGGAGUUCUUGGAGGUGGAUGUGUUUCUAUGUGACAUUUGAGACCUAUCAAGAUGAAAUCUGGUGAAGAGGCUGUGCAAGAACAUGCUCAGUUAGAGUGAGUUGAAGAUAUCCAAAUUGAAAGUUUAAAGACAACCAUCAAUAAACAUAUCAAAACACCAACUUUGUAGUUUAUAAAGACUUGAAGGGCCAUCCGAAUAAAAAGACCGUGCCUUGUAAUUAUGAUUUCCUCUCAA